rnacentral:rRNA from 1 species
GUCUGUAUGAAGGUGUAUAGAGUCUAACCUGCCCACUGAUAGUAAUUAAAGGGCCGCGGUAAUUUGACCGUGCGAAGGUAGCAUAAUCAUUAGUCUUUUAAUUGAAGGCUUGUAUGAAUGGUUGGACGAAAAAUAAACUGCCUCCUAGUUAAAGUUUGAAUUUAACUUUUAAGUGAAAAGGCUUAAAUUUUAUAAAAAGACGAUAAGACCCUAUAAAUCUUUAUAUUAUUAUAAAAUUUUAAAUUAAUUAUAAGUUAAAUAUUCUAGGAUUUUUUGUUGAUAUUUUGUUGGGGCAACAUAGAUAAAAAAUUUAUCUGUCUAAGAAGUUUACAAAAAUUAUUUGAAUGAGGGUUAAUAAGAUCCUUUUGUAGAGAUUUUAAGAUUAAGUUACUUUAGGGAUAACAGCGUUAUUUUAUUUGAGAGUCCAUAUCGAAAAUAAAGUUUGCGACCUCGAUGUUGAAUUAAAAUUUCUUCACGGUGCAGCCGCUGUGGGAGAAAGUCUGUUCGACUUUUAAAAUUUU